GUUGAAUGUGAGUGGAGGUUUAUAUGAAAUGGACUGGAAGCUGAAUACAAAUAUUUUCCUUUGGGUGGAUAUAUUUAGUGGGAGAAUGUAUAGAUUUUUUGGCUACCAUCUCUAUGCAUUAAAAUGUUAAAAAUAAUAAAUAAAAUAUGCUUGGGUUUAGAAUCAAAAUCCAGGUGAAGGAUACUUUGUCAAAGAAGCACAACAUUGAUAAUCCUCCGAUAAGCAAUGUUUCAUGGAACAAAUUGGUGCAUCAAACAGUCUCUUUACUUGAGUAGAGGCUUCACAAUGAUUGAUUAGCAACAAGGGGUGGUUUUAAUCAAUAGGAGUAUUGUUUGUGUCAACGAAUGUGUAUUAAAAUGGGAGCGCACAUUCAAAUCACCGUCUCAACAAAUAAAAUAAAAAAUGGGAGUGCACAACAUUUUUUUUUUUUGGAAGGUUUGGACGAAAGUAGUUGGGUUUGUGGUGUUUUUAUCAAAUAAUAGCUUGGUACAUGCGAAUAAAUUUCUCAGUUUGGCAUCAAGUGGUAGACAAAUGCAUGAAUGCAUCAAAUCCAUUUGAUUAUCUUGCAUUUGGUCUAGAGAUUCAUAAGUAAUUCGUUUUUUUGACGGCAUGAAAUUAAUGAAGGAACAAUCAUCGAUAUGGUAAAAUUCUUAUCUUGGUCAUUGAUUAAAUCCAAGAAGAAUGACUUGGAACUCUCUACCCCUUAUUUUUUUGGGUUAUAAUGUCGGUUAAGAUUUAUUGUAUCUUAAUUCGUG
rnacentral:lncRNA from 1 species